UGAAAACGAAGUCCAGUGGAGUCGACUCCAAGUCAAACUGGACCCGGACCUGACACGAUCCACUUGCAGCCACGCGAAAGCACAUUGCAAGUAGUUUGUCGUCUCAUGCGAAUUUCCCACGGGAGAACUGGAGACGAAAGAUUUUUUGUUGGUGUGGGUUUUCCCCUCGCUUCCUUCUCUCUUCUUCUCUUUGGCCAUGUCCUACUUGCUCUCGAAGAUCCGUGGCUUCGAUGCCCUAGCGAGGGAGAUUUGCGUCUAGGGUUUCAUCCGGUCGGGAAGGAGGACGGCGAUGGAGAACGGUAGCCCCUCUCCCCACUAUUUAUAGGUG
rnacentral:lncRNA from 1 species